rnacentral:lncRNA from 1 species
AUCCACUUUUCAUCACAACCAGCUGUUCUUCUGCACGCUGUGACCACAAUUUCUUACAUCCAGUAUACCAAUAGAAGAACAUCUCACCUGGUGCCAAAGAUAACGGAGCACUUGGAAGAGCUGACGGCUUUGACAGUGUAUUUACAAGAGAGCUGAUCUGGCAACUGAUGGUUGGGUUCAGUUCAGCAAAUCCAUUAUUAAAAUGUUAUUAGCCAAUGAUGAAUAAAUAGGUUUGGAGCUUCCCUCUCCCUCUAUCU